UACGUAGGGGGCAAGCGUUGUCCGGAAUCAUUGGGCGUAAAGAGCGUGUAGGCGGCUCGGUAAGUCCGCUCUGAAAGCCCGGGGCUCAACCCCGGAAUUGCCUUUGAGACUGCAUCGCUAGAAUUGUGGAGAGGUAAGUGGAAUUCCGAGUGUAGUGGUGAAAUUCGUAGAUAUUCGGAAGAACACCAGUGGCGAAGGCGACUUACUGGACACAUAUUGACGCUGAGGUGCGAAAGCGUGGGGAGCAAACAGG
rnacentral:rRNA from 1 species